rnacentral:rRNA from 1 species
CUCUACGGACAUAAAUCAAAAAUUAAACUCUAACUUAAUUUGUUUUUGGUUGGGGCGACCGAGGGGAAAAAUGAAACCCCCUUAUCGAAUGUGUGAAAACCACUUAAAAAUUAGAGCUACAGCUCUUAAUUAAUAGAAAAUCUAACGAACAAUGACCCAGGGACUUAUUAUCUCUCCCUGAUCAAUGAACCAAGUUACCCUAGG